UGGGAGAAGCUGCGACUUCAUGCCAAAGGU
rnacentral:piRNA from 1 species